AGGCACUGUAAGGCUCUGUAGGUGUCUGACUGCUAGUUUGUUAUUUGCAUGCAAUGGUAAGACAGGUGCUGAGACUUUCACUGGCCCUCAAGUAAAGCACUUCUCUAACAGCAGCUAUUGUUUAUUUUAGUUUGUUGAAUGCCCGGGUAGCAAACAGCAUGGAAAGAAAGGCAAAUAAGAAUUUAACAUCUUUACAAAUAUGCCCAAAUCAUCUUGGGGAAGACAGAAUUGUACACUGCACCCAGCUUGGCUAAGCUGGAAUGGAUCAGAGGUCUGAGUUCAAACUUUUGCAGUUGUGGGUACAUAGGUUUCUUAUGGAAUUCUUCAAGUCUGUUUUUAAAAGCCACAAGUAAAAGCCUCAUUAAUCUCCUACUGAGGAAAUUAUUCCUCAGAUUAUGAUAAUUCAUGACCAAUAAGCAUUUCUUGAUACUCUGUAUAUGUUUUAGCUUCUCAGUUGCUCUCUGGACUCUUGUUCCUUAAAAAUCCUGCUGAAAAAUGCCUUUCCAUCACCAGUGGUCUUCUUCAAAUAUGAGUAGGCUGUUAUCGUGUCCCCCAUUAAUUAUUUCUUAGCCAAGCAAUUUAUAUUUUUAACUCUUCUAAUAUGUCCUCAUAAAUCAGUCCUCUUAGUCUUUGGUUCAUGUUUGGCACUCUUCUGUGAGCUCUCAAAUUUGUCAGUAUCCAGAAGCGUGUAUAAUAUUUCAGAUGGAGCUGUACCAGCAGCAUGCAGAAAGUAUGCUUUAUGAAGGAUGAAGUAUGGAAGUAUGCAAACACAAAGGUAUUUGUUCCUCUCUCAGUGAUGUGACACUAUUUGCCCUGUCCAAUAUUGUGCUGGCCUUUUCAUGCCAUAGCAUGUCACCAAUUCACGUCAUUUAGAGAGAGCUAUCUCCCUACAUCUCUUUCAUCAUUAUUGCAUCUGAGAUCUCACCUUCCUGUUAUUCUUUCUCAGAUGCUUUCCCAGGCUGCAUUAUUUUCCAGGCUGAAUCUCGUUUAGUUAUUUUGUUUCCAUGGUUCUAUUUUCUCUAGGAAAUUCUCCAUUUUUUCUUUGUACACUGUCCUUCUGUCUUUCACAUUCAUAUCUGUGAGUUUCAUCAAAGUGCUGUGCACUCUCUUUUCCAGAUCAUUAAUAAAGGAGUCCAACAGGCUGUUCCUAGCAGUCAUCCACAUGGCAGCCAGGAGACAGUUCCCACCACCUUGGUACAUUGCAGCUUAUUUCCUGUAAUUUCAUUACCUCAGCAACUUGAAAGCCACAUGGAAAUGCCUGAGCCAACAUGAAUUACUUUUCAGCUAAGAUCCUGUGAGAUACAACAUCGUUCCCCUAUUAAAGCUCAUCUGCACUUGGAUAGUCCCCUGUCCUUGCUCAAGGCCCUGCACCCAAAGCUCACUGAAGACAGAGUGACCAUUAGGAACAGAAACUGGAUUUACGAGAGUCUGUCUGCAGUACCCUUGCUGUUGUUUAAGAUAAUGCCAAAGUGUUCUUGCUAGUGAGAUCAUGUUUGAAAAAUAAUGCAUACUUGGACUUGAAAGCAAGCUGAUGGAAAGACAGAACAUUCAUUUCCUAGCCACCUCCAACACUGUGGGAGAAAAUACCUCAUGAAAGAGAUGUUAGAGAGAAGAAAUAGCAGCAAUGCGACUUCAAAGAACUUGCUAGCACUGGAUGUCAUUAGAGAUACUACAGCUGCUCUUCCUUACUCUGAUGGCUCUGGCUCUCAGAUGCAGCACAUUCUAAACAACAGUAAGUAGGGAAUGGAUGAUAAUUUACUCACUUUAAGUUUUGGUUGAGAAGGAGGCUCGUUGUUCCUGCUCAUACACCGUCUGCUUUUCAGCCAGCUUUCCCUUAUGGAUGCGUCACUGUCCGCUCCCUGCGGGGCUGCUCCGGCUGCACUUCAGCGGGCACCGGCUCAGGCUCAAAGACAAGCCAGGCUUAGGCAGCGAGUCACUGUUUUCCCUACAGUGGCCUUGAACAUCAGCCUUGCCACAUGAGAAGCAGCUAUGCUCUUCAUCUGAAUAAAACGAAACUUAAAAUAUUUUCUACCCACAA